AGGAUCAUUAUAAAUAUAUGGGAUGCUCAAUAUGAGUUCUCAACAAAACACUUUCAUGUGUAUCCUUCCAUGUUGCUUCCUCAGGCCAGUAGCCAUUGCUACCAGCCAGGCCGAUCUUCGGUCACUAGGUUGAGGUGCUUGGGGAAGGGUCAAUCAUGAAACUUUACAUUGACUUAUUGUCUGACAAGGCCAUGUGCCAUUAUAUUUAAAUAUUUUAAAACUUUCAACAACGGAUCUCUUGGCUCUCGCAUCGAUGAAGAACGCAGCGAAAUGCGAUAAGUAAUGUGAAUUGCAGAAUUCAGUGAAUCAUCGAAUCUUUGAACGCAUAUUGCGCCCUUUGGUAUUCCUUAGGGCAUGCCUGUUCGAGCGUCACUAACAACCAAUCACCUUAUAUGUGGUAUUGGCAGAUGUGGGUUGAGUACAAAGCUUAGCAGUGAUACUCUCCCACACUGUUGGAAUGAAUAGGCUAGAAAAGUAGAUCAUAGCAACAGACUUUCAGAGUAUUUUGAAAUGCUAAAUUAGUUUGAAGCUGGUCAGAAUCUAGGCCAUUUGACCCCCAUUCUGUGUAGAGCAGUAAGGUUGACCUCGGAUCAGGUAGGGAUACCCGCUGAACUUAAGCAUAUCAAUAAGCGGAGGAAAAGAAACCAACAGGGAUUGCCUUAGUAACGGCGAGUGAAGCGGCAAAAGCUC
rnacentral:rRNA from 1 species